UGGCAGCAGUGGGGAAUAUUGCACAAUGGGGGAAACCCUGAUGCAGCGACGCCGCGUGAGUGAAGAAGUAUUUCGGUAUGUAAAGCUCUAUCAGCAGGGAAGAAAAUGACGGUACCUGACUAAGAAGCCCCGGCUAACUACGUGCCAGCAGCCGCGGUAAUA
rnacentral:rRNA from 1 species